CACUUAGUUAGGGCUACACCUACUGAAAAGCACCACCACCGUCUCAAGCUAUCUGGCAACGAUUGUACUUUCUUGAAAAAUGCCAUUGUCCCAUCUGUUUGAAUGAACGAAACUGUAGUGUUGGUGCGUUGUUAUUAUUUGAGCAGUGCUAAUGACAAGGGAAUUUAAACGAAUAUUUGUUUAUUUUUAAAUGAUUGAAUGCCGUGGUUUCGAUAGAUAGAAUAUGUAUUAUGUAUAUUCUAAAAGAUUUUUAAUUUUUAUAAUAAAAUGUCAAGAAAUUAUCAUUGCAAAAUUCUAAAUAUAUUAUUGUAAAUUUUAAGUUGGUGGUUUAAAAGGAUAGUAAGUAAAAGUAAUAGUUUCAGCACAUAAGACGGGUUAGUUAUCUAAAGGGUCAGACGGUAGAAGUUGAUCAUGAUGUAAUGCAAAGAUUCAGUUCCAUUAACUAUAAUAGUAUACUCCAACGGAAAUACUAUGGUGACAAGAGAUCAAUACUAAGUUAAAAUUACAUUAUACAAUAUUUAUUUAUUUAUUUUCAAAUAAAAGUCGUUCCAAUAC